CCAACGCUCUAUCCACUGAGCCAUACCGGUUAGGGCAAUUUAAUACUUUUUAAGAAAAAAUUUCAGCUGGUGGGAAGCUCGGCCCUAAAGAUUCUGGGAUGUGUAGUCCAGAUGCCUCCUGUGAUGGGAGCACUUCCGCUCUUGGAAAGAGCAGACUUGUUCCUUAGGGAGGUUUAAUCAAGUGUUAUGCAUGUAUGGAGGCAUUUGGGUUACCCGAGGGCGAGGUAAUGAACCCAGCUUCUUUCCGGGAAUUUGAAUCAGGCCGCCUUGGCGCCCCCGGGGGCGGGGCAGCAGCUCCAGUUCCCCCAGUGAUGCUGGGAAAUGUAGUCCGUGCGCUCCGCGAAGUCGGAGGCACUUCCGCUGCAGAAGGCCGAGCUCGCGGCCUCGGUUUCUCCCGGAGUAAGGGCAAUAUCAAAGCCUGCCUCCUGAAGUUCUUGUGAAGAUUAAGUGAGAGCUAAUAUGUAAAGUGUUUGAAAUAGUGCCUGGCACGUAGUGAAUCCUCCGUGUAUUACAGACUAGCUGUUGUCCUUUGUCUAUCACAGAUGAGUAUACAACAUGAAAGAUGUAGCAAAUCAAUGAAAAGGCAAAAAGAUGUUUGAAGGUAUUCUUUUCUCCCCCACCUUCUGCUCUGAUACUUCAAUUCGGUCAUACAGUGGGACAAAAAUCAAAAGCUUCUGUAAUAACCAUUGUUUAAACCUAAAACUAAUUUGCUGUCUUUUGAACUUAGGGAGUCCCUGGGUGAUGAUUAUGCGAUCUCUGCAGCCUUUAAAAGGUGUUCGUCUGCACUAUCCAAUCUAGUAGCCAUUAGCCACCUGUGACUAUUGAGCACUGGAACUGUGGCUAGUGCUAAUUAAGGCACACAAUGGAUUUCAAAGACCUAGUAUGAAAACAGAAUGUAAACUAUCUCAAUUUUUAUAUUGAUUAUAAGUUGAAAUGGUAAUACUUUAGAUAUAUUGGGUUAAAUAAAAUGUAUUGUUAAAAUUAA